GCAGGCACGGGCGCGGCGCGGCGGCGGAGCGGCAGCAGCGCGGCCCCGGACACGGCCACGGCCAGGGACACGGACACGGACACGGCCCCGGCCACGGACACAGCCACAGCCACAGCCACGGCCACGGCCAGGGCCGCAUGGUGCGGGAUGGAAAAUGGCGGGAAAAAUGGGGGAAAAAAUGGAGGGGAAAUGGGGAAAAGAUGGGGAAAAAAUUGGGGGAAAAUCUGGGGAAAAUAUGAGGGAAAUCUGGGGGGAAAUAUGGGGGAAAUAUGAGGGAAAUCUGGGGAAAAGGAAAUGGGAAAUAUAUGGGGAAAAGCUGGGAAAAAAAAAGGGGGGAAAAUAUGAGGGAAAUCUGGGGAAAAAAUAUGGGGAAAAUAUGAGGGAAAUCUGGGGAAAAGGAAAUGGGAAAUAUAUGGGGAAAAGCUGGGGGAAACAAUGGGGGGAAAAUAUGAGGGAAAUCUGGGGAAAAAAUAUGGGGGAAAUAUGAGGGAAAUCUGGGGAAAAGGAAAUGGGAAAUAUAUGGGGGAAAGCUGGGAAAAAAAUGGGGGGAAAAUAUGAGGGAAAUAUGAGGGAAAUCUGGGGAAAAAAUAUGGGGGAAAUAUGAGGGAAAACUGGGGAAAAGGAAAUGGGAAAUAUAUGGAGGAAAGCUGGAAAAAAAAUGGGGGAAAAAUCGGGGGAAAAUAAUGGGGGGAAAAUGGGAAAUAUAUGGGGGAAAGCUGGGGAAAAAAUUGGGGAAAAAUCUGCGAAAAAAUCUAGGGAAAUCUGGGGAAAAUAAGGGGGGGGAAACGGGAAAUAUAUGGGGAAAAGCUGAGAAAAAAAUUGGGGGAAAAUAUGAGGAAAAUCAGGGGAAAAAAUCUGGGGAAAAAAUCUGGGAAAAGCUGGGAAAAAAAUCUAGGAAAAAUCUGGGGAAAACCUGUGAAAUAUCUGGGGAAAUCUGAGGGGAAAAAUGGGGGAAAUCUGGGGAAAAACUGGGGGGAAAAGCUGGGAAAUAUCUGGGAAAAAUCUGGAAAACAAAUCUGGGGAAAAGUCUGGAAAAAAAAUCUGGGAAAUAUCUGGGGAAAAAGCUGGGAAAAAUCUGGGGAAAAACCUGGGGGAAAUCCUUUCCUCUGGGAGAGGAGACAGAACUCAGGUGCCCCGCGCUGGGAAAAGAUUUACACAGCGAGAAUUUGGAUUUGUUUUUUAAAUUUGAGGUCACUUCAUCCUGGAAAUACCCAAAUCAGGGAGGCGGUGCAGGCAAAGAUCAGGCAGCUGCAUUUUGAGGGGAAAAUAUGGGAAAAAAAAUGGGGAAAAUCUGGGAAAUUCAAUUUCCUGCAUUUUUCACUGUAUCAAAAAAAGUGAUUUUGCUGCCAAAGUGAUGCUCCAAGGCUGGAAUAUUUUCCUUGCAGGAAGAAAAGCAGAUACAGAGACCUAAAACCUGUGUUUUUUGACUUUUUUUAAUCAUCCUUUCCCUUUAUUGGACUAUUUCAGUGGCAGCUUUAACUAGAAAACUUUAAAAAAUAAAUUCGAAACAUAAUCCUGAAUUUUGAACA
rnacentral:lncRNA from 1 species